CUUGUAAUGCAUCAGAUAACAUUGUGUUAUUCUAACAAUAUAAGAGUUACCUACAUUAUACUGGUUCCCUGCAUACUAAUGCAUUGCAUGCAUUUUUUUUAUCUUGUUGUAAUUGUGUUUUGUAACCCCAUGCAUGCACUUAAAAAUAAUAAUUUUCAUCAUUUCAUAUGUAGAACAACAACCAGUGACCGGAAAACUGAGAUAGACAGGAGGAAGAAGAAAGCUGGACAUGAAGUUCUGACCCCGUGGCGCACAGGAGAACAUGGUCCCUCAUCACUUGCUGAGCCACCAGGCAAUGAAUUUCAAGAGCAAGACGACCAAAUCUCCAUCUUGACAGAUCCAACCUCGACCAAGAGUUCCAUUGAGCAGGAGGUGACAUUGCCCACCACACCAAGGGUGAUCAUGCUAGGAAGAAGUUUGAUGUCUUCCACCCAUUGGAUGGUCAGCAUUGAGGGGAAGAUCCUCUUUGAAGUUAACCAACUUAAUGACUUUGCCAGUGCUUUU